rnacentral:sRNA from 1 species
UUUAAUUAAAUGUUUUACUCACAUAGAUGGUACACUGUAAACAUCGGAAUGUACAUCAUAGGAAAUCAUUAAAGAUAAAAUACGAAAAAACUUCAGUGCUACCAUUUGAAGAAAUAAGUUCUAAUAGCGAAAUAGAUCAGACUCACCCACUACCACUAAUUUUUACUGGAAGAGUGGUUAGAAAUCACAGAGGAAGGCGC